rnacentral:rRNA from 1 species
GACGAACGCUGGCGGCGUGCCUAAUACAUGCAAGUAGGACGCAGUUGCGAACGGGUGAGUAACGCGUAGGUAACUGCCUAUGAGAGGGGGAUAACUAUUGGAAACGAUAGCUAAUACCGCAUACUAGUAGAUGGACCUGCGUUGUAUUAGCUAGUAGGUGGGGUAAUGGCCUACCUAGGCGAGGAUACAUAGCCGACCUGAGAGGGUGAACGGCCAAACUGGGACUGAGACACGGCCCAGACUCCUACGGGAGGCAGCAGUAGGGAAUCUUCGGCAAUGGAGGGAACCCUGACCGAGCAACGCCGCGUGAGUGAUGACGGUUUUCGGAUCGUAAAGCUCUGUUGUUAAGGAAGCGGUACUUAACCAGAAAGGGACGGCUAACUACGUGCCAGCAGCCGCGGUAAUAC